CAUCCACCUGCUUUGACCUCUCAAAGUGUUGGGAUGACAGGUGUGAGCCAUCGCAUCUGGCCUAAAGUUGCUCCUUUUAGCAAGAGGUCAUACAAAAGGUGUGUCUUAUUUGCAUGCCUUUUCAUCAAAUUUUGCUGAGCAGUGUGUUUGCCAGAUUUUUGGUUGGCAUUGUUCUUUUUCUUAAAAAGUUAGCAUUGUAAUUAAAGCAAAAGAUCAAUUUGUGUGAAGUAACAAAUUAGUCAUGCUUAUUAAAUUUAAAACCCUUCUUAUGUGUACUUUUCUAGUUUUUUUUGGUUGUUGUUGAGGAUACAUAUCUUUGUAUUGGAUCCAGCCUAUUCUUUGUAGACAUUAUGUUUCUUUCCUUACACAUGAUGUUUUUUCCUGUUUAUCUGGUUAACUUCUUAGCUCAAAAACUAUCUUCUCUAAGCAUCCUUUUCUGACCUCCCUGUGUAUGCUACCUCCAUUCCUGCUAUUCCAUGUAUAUUGCUUUUAGCCAGGUCGUCAAUAAUCUAAAUCUUAGGGGUUAUAUUUCAGUUCUUAUUCUAUCUUGCUGUGAAACUGGUCAGUGUUAAUUUCUUUCUUUUCUUACAUACUCUUUUCCCACUUUCUUGGUUUUCUUCCUUUUGUUGUGUAGUUGCUGCUGCUUUUUCUUUCUUUGUGAUCUCCUUCUCUUCUGUUCAUUCCACUAAUGUUGAUGUUCCUCAGGUAAUUUCUCUGGGCUCCUUUGUUUUUCCAGCAUGUCAGAUCCUCCGAGGAAAAUGUCAUUUAUUUAAUAACUUCAGUUCUCAUCUAGUCAUUAUGACCCCCAAAUAAAAACUCUUAAAUUAGACCUUCCUUCUGUAUUCCAUACUAAUAUAUAGGUAUCUGCAAACAACUCAGGGAUUCUUCUCCAGUCUCCCUGAUGAUGUCAUUUCUUUGCUCAAAAAUGUUCAGUGCCCUUCUUGACUACCAAAUGUGUUGGCUCCAAACUAUAUUUCUAGCUUUAUAUUCUGCUUUUCCACAUACAGUCUUUGCUCUAUCUAGUUCAACUUGAUUUCUACUAAUGUAAUCUGAAACACCUCCCUUUUAUUUGCUCUUGCUUCAUACCUUCCUCUCUUAAAUAGAUCCUUACCUCUUACAGAUGCCCAGACAGCUCUGAUGUUUUCUUGAUGCUGGAACUGUCCCUGUUCCAGUUAGUCUAUAUUAAUCUUUCCUUUUUCUGAACCCCUAUAUUUUAUUGAUAUCCAUUUAAUAACAUUACUACAUUCUGUUUGUUGUAUGAUUAUUUAGUACUUGUCAGUCAUAUCCUUGAGGGCUGGAAUUAAGACACUUUCCCUUAUAGGACCCAGACACUGUACCUGGUAUAUGGUGGAUAUUCCUUGUCUGACGUGGUGUUUGACUGAGAGGUUGAGGAGGGACGCCUCUGAUAACUCUUUCAGUUAUCAUUCAUGUUAAGUUCUGGGAACACAACAGGGUUGAUUGCCGUUUCAUUGCUCAGCCUGUGUAUGUAGUUAUAGCCUAGAUUUAUGCUCAAUAUAUUGUCAAUUUCUUUUUGCUGUACUUUUAGUUCAACUUAAUCUUCUAAACUUCUUACUGAGUUGUUUAUGUAUUAGGUUCUUAUUCAUACUAUAUCAAGUCAUGACAAACUUUUCAGCUUAAAACGGUGAACCCCAACCUUUUUUUUUGCACCAGGGACUUGUUUUGCGGAAGACAGUAUUUCCAGGGAGUACGGUGAGGGGGCAGAUGGUUUCUAGAUAAAACUGUUCCAUCUCGGAUCAUCAGGCAUUAGAUUCUCAUAAGAAGCAUGCAACUUAGAUUCCUGGCAUGCACAGUUUCACAAUAGGAUUAGUGUUCCUACAAGAAUCCAGUGCCAUCACUGGUCUUGAUACAGGAAUGCUGGGAAAGGAAGAGAGUGGUCCCUUUAAAUAAGGAAGGGGGUUCCAGGCACGGUGGCUCACGCCUAUAAUCCCAGCACUUUGGGAGGCUGAGGUGGGUGGAUCAUUUGAGGU